rfam:Myotis lucifugus cont2.66633, whole genome shotgun sequence.
CAUGCACCGGUGGGGUCCCUCGGCCUGGCCUGCACCCUCUCACAAUCUGGGAUCCCUGGGGAUGUCAGAGAGCCAGUUUUGGCCUGAUCCCACAGGCCAGGCCGAGGGACCCCACUGGUGCACA